rnacentral:sRNA from 1 species
UUUUGUGCUUUUUUGUUUCCAACAGGUCCUGAUAUCUCAUCAUCAAGUACAAGCGCAAGUCCUGACACAACAUCAACAUCUAGCAGUACUACAGAUGUGCCUAGGUGUACAAACAACAUAUGGCUGUUGUCCAGAUGGCGUGACCAGUGCUCAAGGAAACAACUUUGAAGGAUGUCCUGGCACCCCAGAUACUGAAUGCUAUUAUAGUUUAUAUGGAUGCUGCCCAGAUGAAAA